GUGCCAGCAGCCGCGGUAAUUCCAGUUCCAAUAGCGUAUAUUAAAGUUGUUGCAGUUAAAAAGCUCAUAGUUGAACCUUGGGCCUGGCUGGCCGGUCCGCCUCGCCGCGUGCACUGGUCCGGCCGGAUCUUUCCUCCUGGGGAGCCGCAUGCCCUUCACUGGGUGUGUCGGGGAACCAGGACUUUUACUUUGAAAAAAAUAAAGUGUUCAAAGCAAGCCUAUGCUCGAAUACAUUAGCAUGGAAUAAUAGAAUAGGACGUGUGGUUCUAUUUUGUUGGUUUCUAGGACCGCCGUAAUGAAUAAAAAGGAUAGGCGGGGGCAUCAGUAUUCAAUUGUCAGAAGUGAAAUUCUUGGAUUUAUUGAAGACUAACUACUGCGAAAGCAUUUGCCAAGGAUGUUUUCAUUAAUCAAGAACGAAAGUUAGGGGAUCGAAGACGAUCAGAUACCGUCGUAGUCUUAACCAUAAACUAUGCCGACUAGGGAUCGGGCGAAGUUACUUCAAUGACUCGCUCGGCACCUUACGAGAAAUCAAAGUCAUUGAGUUCUGGAGAGAGUAUGGUCGCAAGGCUGAAACUUAAAGAAAUUGACGGAAAGGCACCACAAGGAGUGGAGCAUGCGGCAUUAAAUUGACUCAACACGGAGAAACUCACCAGGGUCCAGACACAAUAAGGGAUUGACAGAUUAGAGAGCUCUUUCUUGAUUAUGUGGAGAGGUGAGUGCAUGGACCGUACUUAGUUAGUGAGAGAGAAUUUGUCUGCAUAAUAGCAAUAACGAACGAGAUCCUUAAACCUGCUAAAAUAGCCAGGCUAGCUUUAGCUUGUCGACAAACUAUCUAAGAAGGACUAUCGGCUCAAGCCGAUGGAAAGUUUGGAAGCAAUACCGGGUCUGGUGAUGCCAUAAGAAUGUU
rnacentral:rRNA from 1 species